ensembl:lncRNA
AGACGCGUGGCUGUCCCUCCGCUCCUCCCUGCCUCUCCACAGCAGCCCAGGAUGAUUCUCUAAACAUUUUGCCAGCGGAUCAAUAGCUGUAUUGAUCAACCAUUGUGAGAGUGAUCCGUCUAAAACCCAGAGCAGCCUUGAGCUCAGAGAUGGGAGGAGCGAGAGAAAUAGGCUGCGGAGAGGAUGAAGAAAGGGAGAGAGAAAGAGAGAGAGGGUGAGAGAGAGAGGGAGGCUGCAGCAACAGAGAGUGGAGGAAGAGGUGGAGAGAGACCAGGGAUCUCAGAGAGAGAGGCGGACAGAGAGCUGAAGGUAGGGAGGCAUGUUUCGGACGGCGCGUUAGGCGAGCAGAAGAAGCCAUUGGGAAACGUGGUGAAAUGCCUUUUAAUGGCUUUCUCGUUAAGGUGUGGGGGGGGCAACUAACGAGUCUGUCUGUGUGGGCAGAAGAAUGCACAGGAAUGAGAAGCACCAGUAAACAGAAUUGCAAAUGUCUACGCAAUUUACCCCGAUGACAACUUGGGUCAGAGGAGGCCUUGAAAAUAAAACAGUCAACAGUGCCAACCAGAAUGGAUCAUGCUGGAGCUAAAGGGAAUUCUUCGAUGAGGUAAAAAAAAGCUAAACUGGAGGCUGGUGGCCAAGGAAUUGCUUCUUUAGGACACGGGGCUGGUGUUUACAGGAAGCCUCCCCAAUGGCUGUGUCAGCUAGUGGCUUCUGGAACACUGACUAGGAAAAAAGUGGACAUCUUUGGAAUGACAGGCUUUGGACUGGUCAUGGAACCUAAACGUCUCACUGGGGUGGAUACGGUUCGUAUGGAAUAAUGGGCAAAACUGGAGGAUAGUGACUGGGCUAGGAUUCUACUCUUUUGAAAUAUUUUGUGUUUUUUUGGAAAUACAUUUGUUUUUGUGGACAGUAGGGAAGCUAAACCAAAAUAUGUCCAGUUUGAGGCAUUUUUAUUUUAUUUUAUGAGGGUUCUGUUGUGAAAUGGCAACACAGUGGAUGUAUAAGCCUAUGCUGGAGGGCCAAACACAGUGGAGGGCCGAACACACAGAGGAGGCCAAGCGUGUGAACCACAGGGCUCGGACUUGGGGGAAAUUCCAUCAUUAUUGAUUGAUUAUACUUUUUUUCUCCUUAUGCAUUGGAGUGGAAGUUUGGUACUAAUUCAGAGUAGUAUUGCGAACAGUUAACGCUGACCUAAAAACCUGGUCUAAAACAUGUGCGGAACUAACACAGCGGUGGAUAUUACAUGCAGUCUAAAGGUUGCCUUCCUGUGUUCCAGAAGGAUCCUGGGAAAAUACUUAACAUUGUGGGCUUCAGGAGCCAGAACAGUCCUGGAUACUUGAUCUAUGGUAGCAAAUAGCCAAACUAAAACAAAAAGACAUCCUGUAACUGUACAUAGCACGUACAUCAUCAGUCAGAACCUGAGAACAACAGACGAAGAGGUCUGCCUGCUAUUGACACUGUGAGGCUAAUGGGUUGUUAACAUCUCAAGGGCCUUUUGUCAGUGAUAUAUCUAUAGGUGAAGAUCUCCAGCAGCACUACAGCUUAGAGGGAACACUGAAGUAGGCACUCCAUGAAGACCAUAGCCUGUUUCCUCAAAGUAGUAGGUGUUGUGGAACAAUAAAAAAAAGAAACAUCCAUGGCAAGACAAAUUAAUAGAACGAAACUUACUGAAUUAAUUUGUCAGCAAAUUGCAUCACGGACCGAGUGGAUCUAUGUACUUUGCUUUUAUCUUAUGGGGGACAUGCUGGCUGUUAGCUAGGUGGGAAUAAUGAAGAACAUAAUAAUAAAAUAUAUAAUAAUAUAUUAUGUAUAAUAGUAUAUAAUAGUUAAUAAAAUAAUUUAAUAGUAAUACAAUGAUAGGACUAAAUAGUGCUGAUUGUGAUCUGUUAUUAGAUUAUCUUCAUGGCCUCUGUUACGUCGUAAUCUACAUACAUUUGUACACAUUUUUACUGAUUCAUGUAAUGUUGAAUUUGCACAAAGAGAGAUUCUAUUUCUGUUUUCCUGAGCUUUCUCACUGUAUAUAUAAAGG